GACGAACGCUGGCGGCGUGCUUAACACAUGCAAGUCGAACGGAAAGGCCCUGCUUUUGUGGGGUGCUCGAGUGGCGAACGGGUGAGUAACACGUGAGUAACCUGCCCUUGACUUUGGGAUAACUUCAGGAAACUGGGGCUAAUACCGGAUAGGAGCUCCUGCUGCAUGGUGGGGGUUGGAAAGUUUCGGCGGUUGGGGAUGGACUCGCGGCUUAUCAGCUUGUUGGUGGGGUAGUGGCUUACCAAGGCUUUGACGGGUAGCCGGCCUGAGAGGGUGAACGGCCACAUUGGGCCUAAGAUACGGCCCAGACUGCUACGGGAGGCAGCAGUGGGGAAUAUUGCACAAUGGGCGGAAGCCUGAUGCAGCAACGCCGCGUGCGUGAUGACGGCCUUCGGGUUGUAAACCGCUUUCGCAUGUGACGAAGCGUGAGUGACGGUAAUGGGUAAAGAAGCACCGGCUAACUACGUG
rnacentral:rRNA from 1 species